GGCCAAGAAAUGUCCCUACUUCCCCAUCUUGUAAACCUAAUCCAAAUGGUGACCAGAAGUGCAGUGUGGCAAGGAAGAAAUCUAAUUCCACACCUUAAUUUAGUGAUGCAGAAAAUGCUGAGAAUUCCAAAUUUGAUUCAUUUGAAGGAUGUGUGAAGGGAUUGACAGACGUUGAAUGCCAGUAUUAAAUCUGCUGGAGGUUUUUUUUUUUACAAGAUGAAGAGAGAUAACAACAUCCAAGAUUACCCACGAUUUCCUCAAAUAUGGCUUAAGAAAUAUGGACAAUUAAAACUGUACCUUGAAAACAAGAAUAGAUUUUAUUUAGAAAUAAAAGAUGGGAUGUGGAAUGGAGAUUCAGUUUUCAUUAGGUUCAUUAAAUCUAUAAGGCCAUAAAACAUAAUAUAAAAAGCUUCCAUGAUGCUAUUUAUAUGUACAUUAGAAGGAACUACCAGGUGUUACUGUAGUUCCUCAAUGUGUUGUUUCAACAGUACUAAUUUAAUGCCGAUAUACUCUAGAUAAAGUUUCACAUUGUUAAGCUAUCACUGUUUUCUUGGAAACUGAACUCUUUCCCCUGUCCUCUGUGGCUUUGGCUGUGGCUUUGGAUUUGACCUUACAUUUGACUUUUUAUGUGGUAAUUGACAUGUGCCAGGGCAAUAGUAGACAGGAACCCACCCCCAAAUCUAAGUAUCUCAAGUAAAUCUUAUCUUUCCAAAGUGAAAUGGUAGGCAUUUCCCACCACCCACUCUCAUUCAACACAAGUACCAGAUUUAUCUAGCUAAACUGAUUCCAAACAGUAGAAUUGUAUUGACCUCAACUAAUUUCAAAAUGCUGCCUUUUUAUUCAGUAUAUGUUGAAUACUCCUCACAAUUAAAAAUACAGUCUGUUUUGAAGAUAAAAUUACAAAUCUUGAAAUUAAAAAGGUAAAUAUAUGAAGGAGCCAAAACUAAAUCAAACAUUUGGGAAGCUAGGGCUAGAAGCUAACUUGCAUAAAUUUGCAAAAAAUUUUAUACUUUUUCUGUAAAUACUUUUUUAAAAAAAAACUAGGGAUCACAAUAGCCACCUUUGGAACCCAUUCUGUUAUCAGUCAAUAUUUUUAGAUAGUUAGAACUGUCUUAAGCCUUGAUUUUUGCCAUCUUUUACAACUGCCUUGGUACACAGAAACCUUUAAAAAGGAAGAGACACACCGUAAACUCUUGUUUGCAUGGUCACACACUGAUGCUUACAUGUUCCAGUAUCUAAUAGGACCACAAUAGGCUUGAUAAUCCAAGUCAUUGCUUUCGCAUCUUUGGAAAUCUACAUGGGAACAACCAGACUGAAAGCUACUGAAGCUACUGUGUGUGUGAAUGAACAC
rnacentral:lncRNA from 1 species